rnacentral:rRNA from 2 species
GGACUACCGGGGUAUCUAAUCCUGUUUGCUCCCCUAGCUUUCGUGCCUCAGCGUCAGAAGUUGUCCAGGGACUCGCCUUCGCCACUGGUGUUCCUCUCGAUAUCUACGCAUUUCACUGCUACACCGAGAAUUCCAGUCCCCCCUCCAACUCUCAAGCCGAAUAGUAUCCAAUGCCAUUUCUGGGUUAAGCCCAGAGCUUUCACAUCAGACUUACCCGACCGCCUACGCACCCUUUACGCCCAGUGAAUCCGAACAACGCUUGGGACCUCUGUAUUACCGCGGCGGCUGGCAC